UACGGGGGGGCAAGCGUUGUUCGGAAUUACUGGGCGUAAAGGGCUCGUAGGUGGCCAACUAAGUCGGACGUGAAAUCCCUCGGCUUAACCGGGGAACUGCGUCCGAUACUGGAUGGCUUGAGUUUGGGAGAGGGAUGCGGAAUUCCAGGUGUAGCGGUGAAAUGCGUAGAUAUCUGGAGGAACACCGGUGGCGAAGGCGGCAUCCUGGACCAACACUGACACUGAGGAGCGAAAGCCAGGGAGCAACGGG
rnacentral:rRNA from 1 species